UACGAAGGGGGCUAGCGUUGUUCGGAAUCACUGGGCGUAAAGCGUACGUAGGCGGAUGCUUAAGUCAGGGGUGAAAGCCUGGAGCUCAACUCCAGAACUGCCUUUGAUACUGAGCAUCUUGAGUCCGGGAGAGGUGAGUGGAACUGCUAGUGUAGAGGUGAAAUUCGUAGAUAUUAGCAAGAACACCAGUGGCGAAGGCGGCUCACUGGCCCGGUACUGACGCUGAGGUACGAAAGCGUGGGGAGCAAACAGG
rnacentral:rRNA from 2 species